GACGAACGCUGGCGGCGUGCUUAACACAUGCAAGUCGAACGGAGUGGCGAAAGGGUGAGUAACACGAGGGUGAUCUGCCUUGCACUUCGGGCUAAGCUUGGGAAAAUGGGUGUAAUACCGGAUAGUGCAAGAUGAGCUCGCGGCCUAGCAGCUUGUUGGUGGGGUAAUGGCCUACCAAGGCGUGGCCGGGUAGCCGGCCUGAGAGGGUGUAAGGCCACAUUGGGACUGGGAGACGGCCCAGACUCCUACGUGAGGCAGCAGUGGGGAAUAUUGCACAAUGGGCGGAAGCCUGAUGCAGCGACGCCGCGUGUGGGAUGAAGGCCUUCGGGUUGUAAACUCCUUUCGACAGGGACGCGGUACCUGUAUAAGAAGCACCGGCUAACUACGUGCCAGCCGCCGCGGUAAUAC
rnacentral:rRNA from 1 species